AUUUCAAAUGGUUAUUAGUUAAACACUCGGAUUGAAAAUCCGCGUGUCGGUGGUUCGAUUCCGCCCCUGGGCACCA
rnacentral:tRNA from 1 species